rnacentral:rRNA from 1 species
CCUACGGGGCGCACCAGUGGGGAAUAUUGCACAAUGGGCGCAAGCCUGAUGCAGCCAAGCCGCGUGUAUGAAGAAGGCCUUCGGGUUGUAAAGUACUUACAGCGGGGAGGAAGGCGAUAAGGUUAAUAACCUUGUCGAUUGACGUUACCCGCAGGAGAAGCACCGGCUAACUCCGUGCCAGCAGCCGCGGUAAUACGGAGGGUGCAAGCGUUAAUCGGAAUUACUGGGCGUAAAGCGCACGCAGGCGGUCUGUCAAGUCGGAUGUGAAAUCCCCGGGCUCAACCUGGGAACUGCAUUCGAAACUGGCAGGCUGGAGUCUUGUAGAGGGGGGUAGAAUUCCAGGUGUAGCGGUAAAAUGCGUAGAGAUCUGGAGGAAUACCGGUGGCGAAGGCGGCCCCCUGGACAAAGACUGACGCUCAGGUGCGAAAGCGUGGGGAGCAAACAGGAUUAGAUACCCGCGUAGUC